rnacentral:rRNA from 1 species
CAUAUUGCGGCCGUAGGUAUUCCUAUGGCCGCGUCUGUCCGAGGGUUGG